rnacentral:rRNA from 1 species
GACGAACGCUGGCGGCGUGCUUAACACAUGCAAGUCGAACGAAGUGGCGAACGGGUGAGUAACGCGUAAUCAACCUGCCCUUCAGAGGGGGACAACAGUUGGAAACGACUGCUAAUACAGCAUACUGAAGGAGGGGAUUGCUUCUGAUUAGCUAGUUGGAGGGGUAACGGCCCACCAAGGCGAUGGUCAGUAGCCGGUCUGAGAGGGUGAACCGGCAAAUUGGGACUGAGACAAGGCCCAGGCUCCUACGGGAAGCAGCAGGGGGGAAACUUCCGAAAUGGGCGAGAGUCUGACGGAGCAACGCCGCGUGAGUGAUGGCGGCCUUCGGGUUGGAAAGCUCUGUUAAGCCGGACGCGGUACCGGAAGAGAAAGCCACGGCUAACUACGUGCCAGCAGCCGCGGUAAUUC